rnacentral:rRNA from 1 species
CUGGCGGCGUGCCUAAUACAUGCAAGUCGAACGCACAGCGAAAGGUGCUUGCACCUUUCAAGUGAGUGGCGAACGGGUGAGUAACACGUGGACAACCUGCCUCAAGGCUGGGGAUAACAUUUGGAAACAGAUGCUAAUACCGAAUAAAACUUAGUGUCGCAUGACACAAAGUUAAAAGGCGCUUCGGCGUCACCUAGAGAUGGAUCCGCGGUGCAUUAGUUAGUUGGUGGGGUAAAGGCCUACCAAGACAAUGAUGCAUAGCCGAGUUGAGAGACUGAUCGGCCACAUUGGGACUGAGACACGGCCCAAACUCCUACGGGAGGCUGCAGUAGGGAAUCUUCCACAAUGGGCGAAAGCCUGAUGGAGCAACGCCGCGUGUGUGAUGAAGGCUUUCGGGUCGUAAAGCACUGUUGUAUGGGAAGAACAGCUAGAAUAGGAAAUGAUUUUAGUUUGACGGUACCAUACCAGAAAGGGACGGCUAAAUACGUGCCAGCAGCCGCGGUAAUACGUAUGUCCCGAGCGUUAUCCGGAUUUAUUGGGCGUAAAGCGAGCGCAGACGGUUUAUUAAGUCUGAUGUGAAAGCCCGGAGCUCAACUCCGGAAUGGCAU